rnacentral:rRNA from 1 species
CGGGUGAGUAACGCGUGGAUAACCUGCCUCACACAGGGGGAUAACAGUUAGAAAUGACUGCUAAUACCGCAUAAGCGCACAGUACCGCAUGGUACAGUGUGAAAAACUCCGGUGGUGUGAGAUGGAUCCGCGUCUGAUUAGGUAGUUGGUGGGGUAACGGUCCACCAAGCCGACGAUCAGUAGCCGACCUGAGAGGGUGACCGGCCACAUUGGGACUGAGACACGGCCCAA